UUGUUUUCUCAGUCUGCUUCGCUGCAACUUCAAGGAGAUAAGACCUAAUGCAAUCUGCUCCACUACUGCUUAGGGAGAUAAGAUCUAUUGUUUUAAUCCGCUCCACUGUAACUUCAGGGAGAUAGGAUUGAUUUCUUCUGUCUGCUCCACUACUGCUUAGGGAGAUAAGACUUGUAAUUUCCAACCUAUUCCACUGCUUGUCAGAAACAUAGGACUUGUGGCUUAAAUCUGUUUCCCUACUCCUGGGGAAGAUAAGAUUCGCC
rnacentral:lncRNA from 1 species